AUAUUUGUCAUAACUUAAAACUGUGUGACGGCACUUGUGAUUAUAAUGUCAUAAUGCGAUUAAUAGUCACGUAGUUAGAGAAUACGCGCGUCAGCUAUCGCCGUGUUUUCAUUUGGAAGCAAAGCAUAUUUUUUUUAAACUUAUGAAAUAGGAAGCAUUAGUGUCAGUUGUGCCUCAAUUACAGGUAAAAUGAAAUUGAUUGGUGCCUCCUCUCGUGGUAUUUCUUUUAACAACUUAAAAUAUACAGUUCCAACGAACUCUCAUCAAUUUCGUUUGUUUAUUUACAUUUCAAGCCGCGAAAGCUUCAAUACAAUUUUUGUGGGAUACUAAUUUGAUGUUGACAAUGUAGUAGAAGGACCAUUAAAAACAUUAUAUUAUUGACAACAAUUGAAAAUUUAGUUAAACAAAAUAUUUCUAUAAUACUAGCAAGUGGUUAAAUUAUGCAAAUAAACAAUGAAUUUAUGAAAGGUAUUAUCACAGUCUGUUUUAAGAUUUAUCUGGCUCUUGGCAAAAAAGUUAUCAUACAAUGUACGAUGUAUAUUUUUACAAGUGCGAGUUUCAAGCUCUGGGCUUUACUGGCUUUUACAUGACAGUCUGGAUAUUAUGAUGAUUAAAGUCCUGUGGGACAGUCUCUGCGUUGGUUUGGUGUAUUAUUAGCCUUUGCAGAGCCUGGGACAUAUCAUACUUAUAUGGACUCUAUUUAAAAAGGGAGGGGGCUAAAGAGGAUAGAUCCCCUAGUAAAAAAUGAUUACAGGGCGCAGAUGUAAUUUUUUUUCGUUUUGUGAUGGGUCAUGAACAUUUUUAUUAUGAAUAUCUCUACCAAACAAAACUAUAAAAACGCACAUGCUAUCUUUGGAGCUCCACAGAGCGCGAGGCGUUUACACAACUCGCCUAGAUUUUUCACUAGCAAUGUGUUGGGAGAAAUUUAUACAAAUGGAGUAAUUGUAAAUAUAUUUUAUA